UUGACAAUUAGUUUAUUAGAGCAAAAGUACAGUUUAAAAUCAGUACAGUUUUAAAAGGCAGAUAGGAAAGAGUUCAGAAGAGAGCAGGACAGGCUUCCAGUUGUCCCAUCUGACAGGAGAUGCAUGCACAGCACUUAAUCCUCUCUGAAUGAGUGUGGGUCAUUUAUGAAAUAUUAUCAACCAGGGAAGCUGAGACUUGGUGUCCAAGGUUUUUAUUGGGUGUUAGUCACAUAGGCAUGGAGAACAGAAAUGGCAGAUGUUAUUCAGUUUCCACCUCCCCCGGCGAUUAAAUUGAUACUGCAAGGUGCAAUGCCCUCACCAUAAAUCUGUAGCAUAAACUAUCUGGUGUGAUCCAAGGCCCCAGGUAAACAAAGGCCUUGCAUCAGGCAGGAUAUUCCAGGGGCUUAGCGCUGUGAUCUCCCAGGAGCAAGUUGAGGGCUAGACCUUUCUUUGAAAGGUGCAGGUUUCAACACGCCAGAUCUAUUAAGUCACUCCUUUCAUACACACGUUAAAAACGUUCUUAGUUCAUGGGCCAGGGAGUAGAUGUGACUGGAGACUCUAGUGCUAAGUGUCUUUUAAGUUACCUUUUUCUUCCUGCUAUUUCAAUAACUGCUGUAAGAAACAUCCUUGUACAUUUUUCAUUGUAUACAUAUGCCAUAUAUUAAUGACAAAGUUAUGUUCUUUCAGAAGUAUGUAAAAUUGGAAAUAUAUAAAAUAUGCGAUUCUCUUUAAAAGCAAAUCAGUCUCUAAUGCUAAUCACUAGAACCCCAAAAUUAUUAAUAAAUUUCAGUCUUUCUUAGUAAGAAAACUGAAUUUACAAUCUAGCGAACAUAAAAAUUUUGUAUAGAUACUAGAUUUAAGCAAAGAUCUCAAGAAAUAUUCGAGUAUCAUAUGUAUUCUGUCAUAAGCAAUAAACUGCUGUUGCUUUUCUGCCAUUUCAUAUAAAAAGAAAGGACCUUUUUAGUCUAAUUGUUUUAUCAUACAUAUGUUCUCCUAAUCUGAACUGUAACCUCUGUGUGAAUAUUGACGUUAUGAAAAAAAAAGCUUUACUUGUCAAAAUAUGACCAAUAUAGGAGACUGGUAGUUCAUAAACUGCAUUUAUUAGUAUCUUUAAAUGUAGAUAAAUUUAACAAAAUACUGUAGUUUUUUUUCCCUCUCUAAAUCUAAGGUUCUCUUUUACAACACAUCAAUGUGAUUUCCAGUUUUUGAAAAAAGCAAUUCAGUCUUCUCCCAGCAACAAAUGCCUACAAGCUUUAAGUGUUCUGACAAUUUCUGUACCUAAAUAUGAUGCAAAACUUUAGUCUUAUAAAAAGACAGAUGUUGAACUGCUGUUAUAAGCAAUAUGUAAUUUCAACUUUACUAAAGUAUGAAUUAUUUUCUCAACAUGUUUGCCAAUCCCUGAUAUUAUCUGACUGGAUGUGAAAUGGUAUCUAACUGUGCUGACUGGCAUUUCCUUGACUCCUAGUGAGCUAAAACAUUUUUCUGUUAAUUGACCUUUUGGUUCUCUCUCAUAUAUCACUCAUUUAUUCCCCCCUUAAGUAGUCCUUUAUGUAAUUUGGACACUUCCUUUGUCAGUUCCUGGUAGAUAAUUGCAAGGUAAGUACCUUCCACGUCUGUGGCUGGCCCUCUAAUAUUCAGUGUCUUUUGUCAUACUUAAGUUUCUAGUUUUAAUAUAGUCAGAUGUGUGACUCUUUUUCUUCAUGGUUCCCACUUUGAGUCACAUCCAACAACUCCUUCCUUACAUUGGUUCAAAUUUUCCUGUAUUACCUUCUAAAAUAUUUAAAAUGGUAUUCCCGCCCCCUCCCCCCUCCGCCACAUUUAGGUCUUUAAUCUACCAGUUUUUAAAAAUAUGGUGUGAGAAGGGUAUAUAAUUUUUUCACAUACAGACAUGCAAUUGUCCUAGUGCCAUUUAUUGAAAAGUUACUAAUUUCUCCACUGUGUCACGUAUCAAGUUCUCAUGUAUCUGUUUCUGUACCAUAGAUUUACAUGUCUAUCCUGGCAUCACAAGGGCUGUGUUAUCACUAUAGUUUUAUAAGCCCUACUGUCUUUUAUGAUAGGUACUCCCCUAUUUUUCCUGUUUAAAAAAAAAAAAUCUCAGCUUUGUCUUUCCACAUUCAGGUUAGGUUGAUUAAAUUCCAUAAAAAGUUUUGUUGAGAAUUUGAUUGGAACUUCAGUGAAUUUAUAGAUUUGGAGAGAACUGGUACUUUAAUGCACUGAUUUUUCCCAUUCUCUAACAUAGAAUACUGCUCCAUUCAUUUUAGUCUACUUCUACAAAAUCUUGCAUAUUUUUAUUGGAUGUAUUAUUAGGUCCCCUUAGAGUUUUAAUUGUGAAUGAAAUUCUUUCAAAUAAUACACUUUCAAACACACUGAAGUGGAAAAGAACACUACUAAUUCUUGCAGAUUGCUCUUAUAUCCAAAAUCUCUCAACACUCACAUUAGUUUUGCUACUUUGUAGUUUUCCUUGGACUUUCAAAUAAACAAUGAUCUUGCCCAUUAACAAUAAUUGAUUCUCUCUUUCCAGUCUUUAUGCCUAUUAUUUAUUCUUCUAGUCUCACUGCACUGGCCAAGAUCUCCAGUGCAACAUGGAACAGAUGUAUUAAUACAAUAUCCCAUUCCUGUACUAUUGCUGACAUUAAGGAACAUCUCUAAAGUUGUACCAUUAACUUGUAACAAUAACUAUGGGUUUUGGUAAGCUAUCAUUUAUCGUACUAAUACGUUUAUUCAUCUAUUAAGAGGAUGUUUUAUUUUUAAAAUCCUAAGUGAAUAUAACUUGCAUUUUGCUGGUUCUCCCCCUCCAACUCCCUGCAUUCACUGAGAUAGUAACAUGCCUUUUCUCUUUAACCUAUUAACAUGGUAUAUACUAUGUGAAAAGAUUUUACAGUGUUAAAUCAUUCUCCCAUAUGGAAAUAAUCCUUACUUGGUCACAAUGAAUGUAUUUUAAUAAAUCAUCCAGAGCUUGUGCAUUAUUCAGAGUAGAUUUUAAAAAACAGAUUGAGACUUAUUUACUAAUACAUAUUUGGCAACACUAAUCAAAAAAUAUCUAAAAUUUCAAAUUUAUUCACAUAAAUUCACAAUCACUUUCUAAAUCAAAUAAUUUUAAUUUUAUCCGUUUUCAUGCCUUAUUUCUUUCCUGAUAUCAAGCUUUUUUUUUUUUUUUUUAAUUUUAGACAGGCAGGGUCUUGCUCUGUUGCCCAGGCUGGAGUGUAGUGACACAAUUAUAGUUCACUGCAGGCUCAAACUCCUGGGCUCAGAUGAUCCUCCUGCCCCAGCCUGCCAAGUAACUGGGACUACAAGUGCAUGCCACUGCACCCAGUUAAUUUUUAAAAUUUUUGUAGAGACAAGGUCUCACUAUGUUGCCCAGGCUAGUCUUGAACUCCUGGUCUUAAGCUAUCCUCAUGCCUCAGCCUCCCAGUGCUAGGAUUACAGGCAUGAGCCACUGUGUCUGGCUAAGUUAUCUUUUCUUAUUGAUUAAUUUUGCCAGGCGAGUGAUAACCUCUACCCUGAUUCUAUCACCACAAAUUAGUUUAAAAUGUUCCUUUAUGCUUUAUGUCCUUUAAAUAGUUGCCUACCCCAAAACAUGAAGACACUCUCCUGUUUCAUUAUUUCCUUUCGCAUUUAAACCAUAUUCCACAUGGAAUUGAUUUUUCUAUAUAUAUGGUAUCAAGGAAGGGGUCUACUUUUUUCCCCAAUACAGCUAUCUAAUUGACUGUACCAUUACAAUAGUUUCUCUUUCUCAUAAAUCACAGAUGACCUAAAUGUGUGGAUCACCACGUAUACAGAAUUCUGUUACUUUGUUCUAUUUUGUUCUAGUCUACUUUGCUCUAGUCUGUUACUUUGGUCUAUUUGUCUAUCCUUAUGCCAGCCAACAACAGUGUUAAUUACAACUACACUUUUAUAAUCACAGGUCUUAUGUCUGUUGGUGAACAUUUUUCAGUUUUAUUGCUCAAGUUUAUCUUGGAUAUUCUCGGUCCUUUGCAUUUCUUCAGUUUGUUAAUUUCUCCAACAUACUGUUGGGAUUUUGAUAAUAUCAUAUAUUGAAGUUACAGAUUAAUUUACAAAAUUGACUUCCAAGUCAUGAACAUGGUAUAUCCAUAUAUUUAGAAUUAAAAAAAAAAUGCUUAAAUGAUUGGAAAAUUUCUUGUAUUUAUUUUACACUAGUGUAAAUGGUAUCAUUUUAUCAAUUUCUAUUUGUUUCUGAUAUAUAGAAAUACAAUUUCUGUAUAGUUUGUAUUCAGUGACCUUGAUAAGUUAUUUUGUUUGUUGAGUCUUUUCAAAUUUCUAUGCACACAACCAGUUGUCUAUAAAUGGUAUUAUUUUCUUCUUUCUAAACGUUCUAUCUUUUUACUUCAGGCCUUACGUUAUUGGCUAAUAUCUCAAAUAUGUUAAACAGUAGAGGUUAUUAUUGUUUUUAGACUUCAAAGAACCAACAUUUUGGCUUUCUCUAUUGUGUGUUAUUUCACUGACUUUUUGUCUUUUAUUAUUUCGUUGCUCUUCUUUUUCCAGCUACUUGAAAAUAGUUUAGGUAAUUGACUUUCAGCCUUGCUUCUUUUCUAAUGUAUGCAUGUAAAUCUAUAAAUUUUCCUCCACGCACUGCUUCAGCUGCAACACACUUUUUGGUAUGUCAUAUUAUUCACUUGAAAAUAUUUUUAAAUUUGUUUUAUUCUUUGACCCAGGGACUAUCAAGAAAUCUAUUACAUAAUUUCAGAGUAGUUGCGGGUUUCUCUAAUCAUCUUUUUUACUGUUUUCUAGUUUAAUUCCACUGUGUUAGAGAAUGUAAGAUGAAUGCUUUUGAUCUUUUGAGAUUAUUGGUUUGCUUUAUGACUCAAAAUAGGGUAAAUUUUGAUAAAUUUACUUGAAGAAAAUGUGAAUUAUGUUUUUUAAAUCAAGUAUUCAUAUAUGUAAAGUUCAGAUCCUCUGCAUCUGAUUUUUUGGGGGUAGGGUCCGGAUAGUCUAUCAGCUAUGGAAAAAGCUGCAUAAGCCUCCAGCUAUGGUUAGACACUUACCUAUUUCUCUUCUUAUAUGUCAUUCGUGCUUUAUGUAUUUCAAAUCUGUUUUCAACACAUACAGAUUUAGGAUCUUUAUGUGUUUUGGGUGAAUUAAUUCCUUCAUCAUUAUAAAAUGUCCCUCUUUAUCUCUGGUAAUGCUUUUUGCCUUAAAUCUCAUUGCCUGACAAUACCACAUUCAAACUGUUUUUAUUUGGUUUGCUGUGUUUUUUUUUCCCUAUGCCAUUUACAUUCAACCUUUUUGUGUGGCCUUGUAUUUAAAGUAUGCCUCUUGUAAGCAACAUGUAGUAGGGAAUUUUCAGCCUGAUAAAUUUUUAAACUUAAUUCAACUAAUGACUCAUUUAAAGUAUUUGGGUUUCUAUUUUGCAACUUUAAAUUUGACCCAUUUGUUUUAUGUCCCUUUUCUAUUCUUGCCUUCUUUUAAAUGCUUUUGUCUCCAUUAAAUUGUUAGGUAUACAUUCUAUUAGCCUUUUAGUGCUUAAGAGAUUACAACAUGCACCCUUGUCUUCAUAGUCUAAAAAAAGUAAUCUUACCAUUUACCUACCUAAUGCUAGAACCUGAGGACAAACUCCAGUACAAACUUCUCCUGUCUCGUUAUUGUAGGUGCAUUUUAAUUCCACAGAUAUUUUAAACCACAGAAUACAGCCAAUAUUCCUUCAAAUUUACCCACAUAUUUACCAUUUCCAUUGCUCUUCAUUUAUUCCUGCAUUCCAGGAUUUCCCUUGGAAUGAUUUUGCUUCUGCCUGAAGAACUCUCUUCAACAUUUCUUUCAGUGUGUAUGUACUGAAGACAAAUUUCCAUUUUUCACUCAAAAGUCUUAAUUUUGCCAUCACAUUUGGAGUGGAUCUUUUGUUUCUUGCCCAUUCUUCCUUAUCUGGAAUGUGAGCACUACAGCCACCAUUUUUUGAUCUUGAAGACAAAUGCUACAUGGUAGAGAGUGGAUCAUAAAGAACAGAAAAAGCCUGGGGCCCUACUGAUCUUGUGGAGUUAUAGUACCGGACACCUGGACAGCCUACAUCUGAAAGAAAAGCAAAAGCACAACAGUUUAAGCCAAUGUUACAUUGGUUCUUUUUCUGGAAGCAAGUAUCAUUCCUGAUGUCUUUGGUCAACUCUGGAAAUUUCUUGGCCAUUUAUUGCUUCCAGUAUAGCUGUUGUCUGUAAUUUACAUGGAAAUACUCCAGUAUACACAGUGUGGUACACAUAACUUAUGUAAAGUCAUCGCUUAAGUCUUGCUACCAUCCUGAUAGAACAGUUCACUAGGAAGAUGAACUAGUGUUCUAAUCAGAGAAUGCAUACUCUAGUGGAAGCUAUUCUAGGUAUUGUUGACUGCAUCUUGAUCAACAUACAAUGUCUUAAUUUUCAUACUAAAUGGUAGAAAUUUUUAUUAGUGACCUGCUAAAGUAAUUUUUUAAAUGGGCCUCCGAUGGUGAGAUUAAAGGUUUUCAGACUGACUAAUAGCAGAGUAACACAUACCACCAUUGCAAGAAGAGGCCAUAAGAAUCCAGCAUGGCCUGUAGCCCUUAUAUUUUGGGAUGAUGUCCUAGUCUAACCCCCUAAAAGGCUCUUGUCCAGCCAUGAACACACCUUUUGUUAAAGUAAUAGAAUUCUGCUUCUUAAAGGAACCUUUCAGGCAAGAUGGUGGUUAGAGCACCUAAAUGGGCCAAGAGCAAUUUCCUUUAGCCUGCAGAACAUGCUAAGAUCAGUUUUCUUGCUCGGUUAAUAUAACAGAAGCUGGCAUGAAACUGUUUUCAUUAUAACGUAGCCGUUAGGGGGUAAUUUGGCAGCAGGAGUAUGCAUGAGAGAAGGAAGCUACCUGUCCCCCACGCCUCAAAAACUUCAGUGCGUACCAUUUCUCUACCAAGAGUUGUAUACUACACAUUCUGUUAGUUCACAACUGCCUCACACCUUCUGUUUUCUCCUUAAACUCCUAAAAUAUAUAUGUAUAUUGGAUCUUCCAUGAAUUACUUUCAAUUUUCUACCUCUUCUGUGCUGCAUUCUAGCUUAUUCCUUCUGUUUUAAAAUUUUCCUUCAGGCCAGGCAUGGUGGCUCAUGACUGUAAUCGUAACACUUUGGGAGGCCAAGGUGGGAGGAUCACUUGAGCCCAGGAGUUCGAGACCAGCUCGGGCAACACAGUGAGACUCCAUCUCUACAAAAAUUUUAAAAACUAGCCAGGCAAGGUGGUACAUGCCUGUGGUCCCACCUACUCGGGAGGCUUACAUGGGAGGAUCACUUGAGCCCAGGAAAUUGAGGCUGCAGUAAGCCAUGAUCAUGCCAUGCGAUAGAGCAAGACUCCAUCUCCAAAAAUAUAUAAUUUCUUCAAAUGCGUCUGAAUAUAUGCCAAUUCUUUCCCCUAAUGACUUUAAAAGAGGCCCCGAGAACACAUACUUCUGUACAUUUCAUUCAUUCCUUUAUUAAAGCCAGUAACUUAAUGUGCCUCACAUUUUUAAGCUAAGCAUGGAUAUUCUGAAAGCAAAACUGAAAUGUAAACUUCAACUCUUUCUCACAGACACCUUCCUCUUUCUCCACCCUAAAGUCUUGGCUUUGUGUAGGUCUCAGUCCCAGCUUCCCUGUAUAGUCAGGCCAUAUCUCUUGCUGUUAAAGUCUCAGGGUCCAUUGGUGAGACCCACAGCCAACACUAUCAUCCACCUAGGUCAGUGUACCUUCAGCUGCUGAGUUCACUAUUCUGGCUGUUUUUUCUUCACUUCUGGCAGCUGGGAUUUCCUUUUUCUUUUGUGGUUAGCUGUGUGUAUAUUUGUUGUUUUCUAUGACAUCUCUGUAAGUUUAGAGUUAUGGGAUUGUGGUGGUAGGAUAAUUUAUGUUAGUCAGAAUAAGUAACCUAUAUAGAAGUUCUUCACCCUUCCAGGAAAUCCUCCAAUCUAUGACAAAUGACUACUUAAAUUGCCAUAAAAGGUGAAUUGUAAGUACAAUAAUCCAAAUAAAACUUUGAUUUUGCUCAGUGACAAUAUGCCCAGCAAAAAAACUAUGUUUCUCAGCAUCUCUUACAGCUAAAAGAUAGCCAUGUUACGCAGUUGUGGCAAAUGAGACAUAAGCUGGGAGUUUCUGAAAAAGCUUUGUCUUUGUGAAAAAGGCAGCAAGACUCAGGGGUUAAAAAAAAAAUCUUGUUUAAG
rnacentral:lncRNA from 1 species